GAUGAACGCUGGCGGCGUGCCUAAUACAUGCAAGUCGAACGAGGCCCUUUGUACUCGUACGAAGGUGUACUAGUGGCGAACGGGUGAGUAUCACGUUGGUGACCUGCCCCGAAGAGAGGGACAACCCCGGGAAACUGGGGCUAAUACCUCAUGUGCUCCAUGGUGUUAGAGGACCAUGGUGGAAAAGGAGCAAUCCGCUUCGGGAGGGGCCUGCGGCCCAUCAGCUAGUUGGUAGGGUAACGGCCUACCAAGGCGACGACGGGUAGGGGACCUGAGAGGGUGGUCCCCCACACUGGUACUGAAACACGGACCAGACAUCUACGGAUGGCAGCAGUAGGGAAUAUUGCACAAUGGGCGAAAGCCUGAUGCAGCAACGCCGCGUGCGCGAUGAAGGCCUUCGGGUUGUAAAGCGCUUUUCUGGGGGAAGAGGAAGGACUGUACCCCAGGAAUAAGUCUCGGCUAACUACGUG
rnacentral:rRNA from 1 species